rnacentral:rRNA from 1 species
GACGAACGCUGGCGGCGUGCUUAACACAUGCAAGUCGAACGGAAAGGCCCUGCUUUUGUGGGGUGCUCGAGUGGCGAACGGGUGAGUAACACGUGAGUAACCUGCCCUUGACUUUGGGAUAACUUCAGGAAACUGGGGCUAAUACCGGAUAGGAGCUCCUGCUGCAUGGUGGUGGUUGGAAAGUUUCGGCGGUUGGGGAUGGACUCGCGGCUUAUCAGCUUGUUGGUGGGGUAGUGGCUUACCAAGGCUUUGACGGGUAGCCGGCCUGAGAGGGUGACCGGCCACAUUGGGACUGAGAUACGGCCCAGACUCCUACGGGAGGCAGCAGUAGGGAAUAAUGCACAAUGGGCGGAAGCCUAAUGCAGCAACGCCGCGUGCGGGAUGACGGCCUUCGGGUUGUAAACCGCUUUCGCCUGUGACGAAGCGUGAGUGACGGUAAUGGGUAAAGAAGCACCGGCUAACUACGUG